AUUGAACGCUGGCGGCAGGCCUAACACAUGCAAGUCGAACGAGUGGCGGACGGGUGAGUAAUGUCUGGGAAACUGCCUGAUGGAGGGGGAUAACUACUGGAAACGGUAGAUAAUACCGCAUACCAUCGGAUGUGCCCAGAUGGGAUUAGCUAGUAGGUGGGGUAAAGGCUCACCUAGGCGACGAUCCCUAGCUGGUCUGAGCGGUUGACCGACCACACGGGAACUGAGACACGGUCCAGACUCCUACGGGAGGCAGCAGUGGGGAAUAUUGCACAGUGGGCGCAAGCCUAAUGCAGCCAUGCCGCGUGUAUGAAGAAGUCCUUCGGGUUGUAAAGUACUUUCAGCGAGGAGGCGUUACCCACAGAGGAAGCACCGGCUAACUCCGUGCCAGCAGCCGCGGUAAUUC
rnacentral:rRNA from 1 species